UACAGAGGGGGCAAGCGUUGUUCGGAAUUACUGGGCGUAAAGGGCGCGUAGGCGGCCUGUUAAGUCGAACGUGAAAUCCCCGGGCUCAACCCGGGAACUGCGUCCGAUACUGGCAGGCUUGAAUCCGGGAGAGGGAUGCGGAAUUCCAGGUGUAGCGGUGAAAUGCGUAGAUAUCUGGAGGAACACCGGUGGCGAAGGCGGCAUCCUGGACCGGUAUUGACGCUGAGGCGCGAAAGCCAGGGGGAGCAAAACGGGG
rnacentral:rRNA from 1 species